rnacentral:rRNA from 1 species
GGGGAGGCUUACAUGCAGUCGAACGGGGAAGCCAUUUUUGAAGCGAUUAGCUUGCUAAGAGUGGAAAUGUUGGCAUCCUUUUGGCGGACGGGUGAGUAACGCGUGGGGAACCUGCCCUGUACAGGGGGAUAACACUUAGAAAUAGGUGCUAAUACCGCAUAAGCGCACAGUAUCGCAUGAUACAGUGUGAAAAACUCCGGUGGUACAGGAUGGACCCGCGUCUGAUUAGCUGGUUGGCGGGGUAACGGCCCACCAAGGCGACGAUCGGUAGCCGGCCUGAGAGGGUGAACGGCCACAUUGGGACUGAGACACGGCCCAAACUCCUACGGGAGGCAGCAGUGGGGAAUAUUGGACAAUGGGGGGAACCCUGAUCCAGCGACGCCGCGUGAGUGAAGAAGUAUUUCGGUAUGUAAAGCUCUAUCAGCAGGGAAGAAAAUGACGGUACCUGACUAAGAAGCCCCGGCUAACUACGUGCCAGCAGCCGCGGUAAUACGUAGGGGGCAAGCGUUAUCCGGAUUUACUGGGUGUAAAGGGAGCGUAGACGGUGCAGCAAGUCUGAUGUGAAAGGUCGGGGCCCAACCCCGGGACUGCAUUGGAAACUGUUGAACUGGAGUACAGGAGAGGUAAGCGGAAUUCCUAGUGUAGCGGUGAAAUGCGUAGAUAUUAGGAGGAACACCAGUGGCGAAGGCGGCUUACUGGACUGUAACUGACGUUGAGGCUCGAAAGCGUGGGGAGCAAACAGGAUUAGAU